UUUUUAAUGUAAAUAUGUUCUAUGCCAUAUUUUGGAUACAGUUAAACUAAAA
rnacentral:pre_miRNA from 1 species